rnacentral:rRNA from 1 species
UACGUAGGUGGCAAGCGUUGUCCGGAUUUAUUGGGCGUAAAGCGAGCGCAGGCGGUGAUUUAAGUCUGAUGUGAAAGCCCCCAGCUCAACUGGGGAGGGUCAUUGGAAACUGGAUCACUUGAGUGCAGAAGAGGAGAGUGGAAUUCCAUGUGUAGCGGUGAAAUGCGUAGAUAUAUGGAGGAACACCAGUGGCGAAGGCGGCUCUCUGGUCUGUAACUGACGCUGAGGCUCGAGAGCGUGGGUAGCAAAC